GUCAAAACGGGCUUCUCUACCCAUUUACGUCCAAGCCCGUUUAGUUUUUGUGUCCAUAUAGAGCCCAUUUACUUAAUUAUAUUAAACGGGUUUCGACGGGUUUGUCCACGUAUGUCCGUUUAAUAAACGGGUUUCAAUAAAAAUAGUUGGACAGCCCGUUAAGCCCAUUUAUUUUUUUUUCUCUGUUUUGAACGAUGUCGUUUUUAUGGCGUUAACAUUAACCUAAUCUCUUUGUCGUCGUUUUCAGUCUUCAUCUUCUUGCCUCCUUUCGAAAAUAUCAAAAUGCCUUCUAGGGUUUCGAAUAUCAAAGUGCCUUCUUGGGUUUCGAUUUGUCUGUUCAUCUCGUGUCUUCUACUUCUUCGUCUUCACUCUCUCUUCCUCGCAUCUUAGAGACAGUCAAGUAUGAAACAAGUGUAGAGGAAGCAAGACACUCUCUCUUACUCGCAUCCUUUUACGGUCAAGGGGAGGGGAUGAUGGUUUUGUAGCCGUUCGUUUGUAGUGGAAGAAAGAGGAUCGUGGCUUCUAUCAUCUCAAGGGAUGGACUCUGAAUCUGUGCACACUAUGGCGCUUCUUGAAGCUCAACGUGAAUACAUGGAUAUGAAUGAUGAAGAUGCUGAAUUUGAGGAAGAUGAAGAUGCUGAAUUUGAUGUCGAUGAGGAGUUGGCAGAAGCAGACGUUCAGUGUGAAACACAAGCUACUGCAUCAACACAAGCAGCGAAAUAGACUGAUAGGCUAUGUUUUAAUCAUGGACAGGUCCUGGUGGUUCAAAAAUGAAAAGAGUAACUUAUGGACACUUGCUGUGAAGUAGAACUUUAUAUUUGAGUUAUGUUGUGAUUUGUAAACUUUGAGUUUCAAUUAUGUUUUAUAUGACAGGUUUCAGGUUUCAUUCUUUUUAUGAUGCAGAUAGGUUAUGUUCAUUUUUUAAAAAAAUAAACGGGCUUUUAAAGGGUUUUAAAUGGGUUUGAUGUUAAAUGGGCUUAUAUAAAUGGGUUUUAAAUGGGUUUAGUUUAAACGGGCUUUAAAUGGACAUCUAUUAAACGGGUUUGGACAUAUAUGGAGUUGGACGUAAACGGGCCGGG